GGAUGUGAAGGCAAUCUGGCUGCAACAUCUAUCACCCAAUUGAUUGCCAGGGUUGAUUCGGCUGAUCUGGCUGAUCAGGUUGAUUUGGCUGAUCAGGGUUGAUUCGGCUGAUCUGGUGUCCCUUUCCUCCCUCACUGCUUCAUCCCUCUGGAAGCUGCGGCUUCGAGGACAGCCUUCCCCGGUCUUAGGUUGAGGGUAUACAAGUAGCUGCGCUGGAGCUAGAACCUCCAAACAAGCUCUUAGAAAGGCUAAGCACUUUAACAAAUGGAAGAAAGCCUAAGUUUGUCAAAGAUAUGACUACAAAAGCUGAAGGAGGACAAGAGACAUGCUCUCAUAACCAUUGCCUUUUUAU
rfam:Erinaceus europaeus unplaced genomic scaffold scaffold00918, whole genome shotgun sequence